GAAGGAAGAAGAGGAGGAAAGACAGUCUUAUCUGGAUUGCAAGGCACAGUGAUGACUUGGAGCUCAUCUCCCAGCCUCUGCAGAGUUCUCCUCCGCAGAUUCCCCGUCAGCACUGUCUUUAGUGUCCCCUCUACUAACUUGGAAGGCAGCCACCUCCACAUCCACUGGAGACAUGAUUGUUGGAAAAGCCCCUGUGCCAGCUAGUUCUAUGUCAACCUGAUAGACGCCGAGUGAUUUGAGAGGUGGGCACAUCAGCGGAGAAAUCGCUUCAGUGAGACUGGACAGCAGGCAAACCUGUAGCAAUGCUGGGGCAUUUCCUUUACUAGGAGUUGAUGGGGGAAUCCCAGCCCACUGUGGCUGGCUCCAUCCCUGGGCUGGUGGUCCUGGCUUCUGUAAGAACGCAGACUGAUGAUGUCACGAUGCAAGCCAGGAAUCAGCACCCUCCAUGGCCUCGGUUUCAUCUCCUUCCUCCAGUUUCCUGCCUACCUGAAUUCCUUCCUGCCUUGGUUUCCCUCAAGGAUCUAUGAUUGGGAAGUAUAAACCAAAAAUACCCUUUCCUCCCCUAGUUGCUUUUAGCUGUGAUAUUUUAUCCCAUAAAAGAAAAGAAACUAGCUAAGACAUCGUCUGUAGGGCAGUGUCUAGUGUGACGCAGUAGUUUCCUGAAUUAGAAGAAUGGACACGGGUGACAUUAUCGAUCAGGAGACUGCGGCGUUAUUUUAAAUAAGAGAUUAUUAUGUGGUUGCUUUAAAUGUCUAGAGAAGAGUCUCUGAUUACACAUCCCGACUUGUGUUUUACCUGGAUCUUAAAAGGACAAUAAAAGCAUCUUUCUGUACACUCAA